rnacentral:rRNA from 1 species
CAGCCGCCGCGGUAAUACGAGGGGAGCUAGCGUUAUUCGGAAUUACUGGGCGUAAAGCGCACGUAGGCGGCUUUGUAAGUUAGAGGUGAAAGCCCAGAGCUCAACUCUGGAAUUGCCUUUAAGACUGCAUCGCUUGAAUCCAGGAGAGGUGAGUGGAAUUCCGAGUGUAGAGGUGAAAUUCAUAGAUAUUCGGAAGAACACCAGUGGCGAAGGCGGCUCACUGGACUGGUAUUGACGCUGAGGUGCGAAAGCGUGGGGAGCAAACAGGAUUAGAUACCCCCGUAGUCCCUGUCUCUUAUAC